GCCAUGGUUGCCCCCAGUGAUCCAUUUUACAUGGGAGAAUGAGGAGGAGAAAUGCAGAAUCCGGAAGCAUGUGCAAAGCCCCUUUCUUGAGAUACCCUGAGGAAAGGCCCUGUAUGGCUCAGCGAUCCUGGAAAACACAUUUAGUUUUGUAUGCCAUCCUGUGAUGUGUGCAAGGAUGACAGAAAAAACUGUCUGCUUUCUGACAAGGGCAAUUCGGCUUAUCUGUGCCUCCCUGCGUGCCUUGGGACUCCAAAGAAACACCAGACACUUUGGUGCUAUGCACGAAGGCAAGCGAGGAAC